AGUGAACGCUGGCGGUAGGCCUAACACAUGCAAGUCGAACGGCAGCACAGUAAGAGCUUGCUCUUACGGGUGGCGAGUGGCGGACGGGUGAGGAAUACAUCGGAAUCUACUUUUUCGUGGGGGAUAACGUAGGGAAACUUACGCUAAUACCGCAUACGACCUACGGGUGAAAGCAGGGGAUCUUCGGAUCUUGCGCGAUUGAAUGAGCCGAUGUCGGAUUAGCUAGUUGGCGGGGUAAAGGCCCACCAAGGCGACGAUCCGUAGCUGGUCUGAGAGGAUGAUCAGCCACACUAGAACUGAGACACGGUCCAGACUCCUAAGGGAGGCAGCAGUGGGGAAUAUUGGACAAUGGGCGCAAGCCUGAUCCAGCCAUACCGCGUGGGUGAAGAAGGCCUUCGGGUUGUAAAGCCCUUUUGUUGGGAAAGAAAAGCAGCAGGUUAAUACCCCGCUGUUCUGACGGUACCCAAAGAAUAAGCACCGGCUAACUUCGUG
rnacentral:rRNA from 1 species